GCGGGGGGGUUCACGGUCGCGCUCCUGCCCAGCAGGAGUGAGGAAAGUCCGGGCACCGCAGGGCAGGAUGCCAGCUAACGGCUGGUCGGCGAGCCAAGCGCCCGCGCGGGUGCCGAAAGCGCGCGGGAGGCGGCGAAGCCGAAGGACAGUGCCACAGAAACCAGACCGCCAUCCCCAUGCAGGCCCCGGCGCGGGCCGGGGGUGGUCAGGGUGAAACGGUGCGGUAAGAGCGCACCAGGCCCCCGGGAGACUGGGAGCGCUGGUAAACCCCAUCCGGUGCAAGACCCGACAGUGCGGGAGGAACGGCCCGUUCCGAUGAUCGCCAGGAUGGUCGCAUGAGGUCCGCGGCGACGCGUAUCCCAGAGAGAUGACCGUGCAGCCACGCAAGUGGUGGACAGAACCCGGCUUACAGCCCCCCCGUACCC
rnacentral:RNase_P_RNA from 1 species